GACGAACGCUGGCGGCGUGCCUAAUACAUGCAAGUUGAGCGCUGAAGGUUGGUACUUGUACCAACUGGAUGAGCAGCGAACGGGUGAGUAACGCGUGGGGAAUCUGCCUUUGAGCGGGGGACAACAUUUGGAAACGAAUGCUAAUACCGCAUAAAGACUUUAAACACAAGUUUUAAGUUUGAAAGAUGCAAUUGCAUCACUCAAAGAUGAUCCCGCGUUGUAUUAGCUAGUUGGUGAGGUAAAGGCUCACCAAGGCGAUGAUACGUAGCCGACCUGAGAGGGUGAUCGGCCACAUUGGGACUGAGACACGGCCCAAACUCCUACGGGAGGCAGCAGUAGGGAAUCUUCGGCAAUGGACGAAAGUCUGACCGAGCAACGCCGCGUGAGUGAAGAAGGUUUUCGGAUCGUAAAACUCUGUUGGUAGAGAAGAACGUUGGUGAGAGUGGAAAGCUCAUCAAGUGACGGUAACUACCCAGAAAGGGACGGCUAACUACGUG
rnacentral:rRNA from 1 species